UACGGGGGGGGCAAGCGUUGUUCGGAAUUACUGGGCGUAAAGGGCUCGUAGGCGGCCAACUAAGUCAGACGUGAAAUCUCUCGGCUUAACCGGGGAACUGCGUCUGAUACUGGAUGGCUAGAGGUUGGGAGAGGGAUGCGGAAUUCCAGGUGUAGCGGUGAAAUGCGUAGAUAUCUGGAGGAACACCGGUGGCGAAGGCGGCAUCCUGGACCAAUUCUGACGCUGAGGAGCGAAAGCCAGGGGAGCAAACGGG
rnacentral:rRNA from 1 species